CAUUAAGUGACUGAAAUUUAAGUAAUGGUCUCUUAAACCAAAUUAUAGCAAAAAAAAAUGCUCUUAAUGA
rnacentral:tRNA from 1 species